rnacentral:rRNA from 1 species
UACGAAGGGGGCGAGCGUUGUUCGGAAUUACUGGGCGUAAAGCGUGCGCAGGCGGUGAUGUAAGACAGGUGUGAAAUCCCCGGGCUUAACCUGGGAACUGCAUUUGAGACUGCGUAGCUAGGGUGCGGAAGAGGGAAGCGGAAUUUCCAGUGUAGCGGUGAAAUGCGUAGAUAUCGGAAGGAACACCAGUGGCGAAAGCGGCUUCCUGGUCCAGCACCGACGUCAGGCACGAAAGCGUGGGGAGCAAACAGG